UCUCACGUCCCCUGUGUGAGCUACCACCUAACAUCUCUCUCUCUCUCUCUCUCUCUCUCUCUCUCUUAUAUAAGUAACCCCUUUGCUCUUCUCCAUUCCCAUUCUUUAAACCUCAAUCCAUAUCAUGUAGAAAUAUCUAGAGGGAGAGCUAUAGAGUGAGAGUCAAAGAUAUAUACUCUAGCUAGAGAUCUUGUUAGUACUCUUCCAAGUAGCUAAUGGAGAAUUCCAAAGGGAUCGCAUUGAUCUAAUGUAUCUCCAACACUUGUGUGUUUGCUUUUUUACUUAGCAAGAUCAUGCGUUCCCUUCGGAGAUUUCCAUUUGUUGCUUCUUCUUCCUCUUCCUCUUCCUCUUCUUCUUCUUCUUUGGAGUUCUUUAUAGAGAUCGAGAGGUGAUUUUAAUCCCUCUGCCCUCUUGUUGAGAGAAAAGCCAAAGGGUUGAGGAUCUUGUGAUUUGAUGCUAGCUAGGCUUGCACUGGAGACCAAUCAAGCUACUUUUUGGACUAGUUCUUUAUUUGUAAGACACUGCCCGAGUAAAGUUAAUUAAUCUUGUCCCCCUCUCAAGGAAAAUUUAACUUUUUUAAUGGAUGGAAAUUUUGAUCUUUAAAUGUAAACAACAAAUUUAUUUAUCCUAGCGUAAACAACAUAUAAAAAUGCCCCUCUGUAACAAUCAUCUCAUCCCUUGGAUCCAACCUAAAUCCUUCGUUUUUUUCUCAAAUUUUCUUUUUCAUUCCUCUCGCUUGCUUUCCUCUCCCUUCUCGAUCGACUUUUGGCAUUUUUCUUUUAGUAUCUGUUAUUUAAUCUUUUCUUUGCAGUGAUUUCAGGUUUCGAGGUGACAAGCUCGUGCAGCAGAAAAUUUUAUAAUGAAGACGAGGAUUGGAAAUGUUACAAGUGUUAAGUUGUGGUUAACGAUAAUGCUAACUUUUUGAGGAGGAUUUAGGGAACUUACUUAGGAGUUAUCUCAAGAUACUUAAGCUUUGAGGGACUAAUAUGAAAAAAAAACACCAACAUAGUAUUGGUAGGUUAAACAGUGAGGGAGUUUUUGAAAACGUUUUAUUUGAUUUCUUUCCAAAUUCUUCAUAAUGUUAUCCGCGAAAGCUAUUGUUGAGGAUAACAUACAAGUAAAUGGUUCUUUCAACUUUUUUUAAACAUUUUGUAUAA